rnacentral:rRNA from 1 species
AGAGUUUGAUCCUGGCUCAGGAUGAACGCUGGCGGUCUGCUUAACACAUGCAAGUCGAACGGGAUCCUUCGGGGAUUUAGUGGCGGACGGGUGAGUAACGCGUGAGAAUCUGCCCUUAGGUUGGGGACAACAGUUGGAAACGACUGCUAAUACCCAAUGUGCCGAGAGGUGAAAGGUUAACUGCCUGGGGAUGAGCUCGCGUCUGAUUAGCUAGUUGGAGUGGUAACGGCACACCAAGGCGACGAUCAGUAGCUGGUCUGAGAGGAUGAUCAGCCACACUGGGACUGAGACACGGCCCAGACCCCUACGGGAGGCAGCAGUGGGGAGUUUUCCGCAAUGGGCGAAAGCCUGACGGAGCAAGACCGCGUGAGGGAGGAAGGCCUAUUGGUUGUAAACCUCUUUUGAUAGGGAAGAACACAAUGAUGGUACCUAUCGAAUCAGCAUCGGCUAACUCCGUGCCAGCAGCCGCGGUAAUACGGAGGAUGCAAGCGUUAUCCGGAUUUAUUGGGCGUAAAGCGUCCGUAGGUGGCAAACCAAGUCAGUUGCUAAAGCGUAGAGCUUAACUCUAUAAGGGCAAUUGAAACUGGUUAGCUAGAGUGCGAUAGGGGCAAGGGGAAUUCCCAGUGUAGCGGUGAAAUGCGUAGAUAUUGGGAAGAACAUCGGUGGCGAAGGCGCCUUGCUGGGUCUGCACUGACACUGAGGGACGAAAGCUAGGGGAGCGAAAGGGAUUAGAUACCCCUGUAGUCCUA